rnacentral:misc_RNA from 1 species
AACCUAGCACACCUGCGGUGUGUACCUGCGGAGGGAUCAUUAACGAAUAUCUAUGGCGUUGGUUGUAGCUGGCUCCUAGGAGCAUUUGUGCACACCCGUCAUUCAUAUCAUCUUUCCACCUGUGAACUAUGUGUAGGCUUGGAUACCUCUCGCUUUGGUGACAAGGCGGAUGCAAGGAUUGCUGCGUCGACAGGGCCAGCUCUCUUUGAAUUUCCAGGUCUAUGUCUUUUUACACACUCC